ensembl:snRNA U6 U6 spliceosomal RNA
GUGCUUGCUCCAGCAGUCCAUAUUCUAAAGCUGAAAUGAUACAGAGAUUAGCAUGGCCCCAUGCACAGGAUGAAAUGCAAAACUGUGAAGUGUUCUAUAUUUUA